UUUUUUUGUAAUUAUUUUAUUAUUUAGUUGGAAACUUCACACUGGUAUUAACAGAGCUAACAGAAGCAGCCCAGACCGUUGUCCUGGGCACCAAGACAAAGAUCUGGAAGAGAUACUGUUGAGUAUGGAAAUGCGCUGAGGUGAUUAAAUAGGGCACCCACCUGCAUCCUACCCUUGGUCUGAGAACCCCCCCCCGGGGGGGGGAUCCAAGAGCUGCUGGGUCUUGGUUUGUGAAGGAGAAGUAGGCUGUCAGGUUGAGGACUGCUUGUGGCGAGACUGUAGGAACUGCGGGUAUCCACACAGCGGUGCCUCCCAUCUCCACAGCAAGCCUUAGGUUGCUUCCUGUGAGUGUGGAAGGCUCCCCAGGACCUUCUGACAUUUUUGGCUAAGUCCCAUUUGGGGCAGUGUGAUAGUCUCAUGUCCCUGUGUUUCCUAAGCUCGAUGCUGAGAGCCCAUGACAGGUAGGGUGGUUCAGUGACUGUUAGCACUGCUGAUAGCUUUGUUCUGUGCAUCUGGGUCCCCAGGCCACACAGUAGGUACACUGGUGCUUGUAGAUUAGUCGGAAGGGUCUUUCCAAAGCCUUGAUCCCAACCUGGCUGCAAGGGAUUGGCAUGUGACACCCCCACCCAUUUCUAAAUCGCAAGUGACCUUGACAGUACCCCUCCCUUAUUGCAACCCUAAGACCCCACUGCCUUAGGGUGGGGUCCCCGGUGCCGAAGGUCUCUGCCUCACUCCAAGUCUCACUCUGGGCAGUCGUCUGUGUCUUUGGAAGUGUGAGAAUUGUGUUAGUGCAAACGGAUGUAUCUGCAUGUUGGAAAGCUCGCAGGAGGCAUGUUGGCAAGAUGAGAGUGCAUGUUUGGGAUUACUGGGGCUUACUGUCCCCACGCCGGGCGGAAGCUUCCAGAGAUGUCUUAUAGACAGGUGUGUGAAGGCUGAGAGACAGAGUUUGGAGCCGUAAUGUGUUUGAAACAGGAAAGAGUCAGUUCUCGGUGGUUAAAAAUGAGAGGUUUGCAGGGGAUUUUUGUUAUUCGACAGCCAAGAGUCCAGCCAGAGAAAACUCACUCACCGGGCCCAACCCCGGCUUCCAGUAUCAUUGUCUUAAGGAAGAGGUGGUGCAAGUCAUAAGCCAAUCUUUGGGUUUGGGAGCCCAUUCUCAUCCCGGAUUCCUAGAAGUUUUUACCCAGUGCAUUCUGUCCAGUGCAGAGCCAGCCUGUCAAACCAUACAAAUUAGGGACCACUGACCACAUAAUAAGGCCACACAGUAGGGACCCGACAUCCCCCACACUAGAACGUAAAAGCCCAGGUCUAUCCAGGAGGAAGGUGACCUCAUUUGGACCUUCAUACCCAAGGCUCCGAUGGAACUUAUGGUUCUAAUUGCCAAGUCGACCUCCUGAUGCCAGUCAGACCCGGUGAGCACACCGACCUCUUGCAUGUGCUGCUGCUGAGGCACACCGCUUUUGAGUUCACUUCAAAGGGUACGCAGUUGCCACUCUUAGAUUUAAAGCUUGUCUCCUGCAACAGAGGGCAUGGGUGUCCUUACCAGUUACCAGGUAAACUUCUAAGGCAGAUGUGAGUGGCCGCUGCUGCCAUGUGGUAAGAACAAGCAGGUAAAUGACACCGGGACUCACCUAAAUCACAGGGACUUCCUAGUGUCCACUCAUCCCCAGCCAGCUUACCGUGGUCAGCAGGAGUCCUUCCCCCAGCUUCUCCCCUCCCCACCUCAGCAGAGAAACGGAGACAAGGACAUUGGAUGCAGUAGGGGUCCACGUAAGUGCUAACAUAUCUCCAGGAUCCUGGGUGGUGCUAAACUAUCUCCGUGUUUCUCAUAGUUCUAAUAGUGGGUUGUUUUUUAUAAGUCUCAUCACAAACAACACAGUGUCACCGGGGGAGGGACCCAGCCCCCUUGACCUGCCCCUUUCCGGGUGUCCUUUAUCACUUUGGUGGGACUCUUUGGUCUGUAAAAAUGAUCUGUCUUGGCAUGCUUCUAGACUUUAAAAUUUGGGUUGUUUUGUUUCAUAUCUUAUGUUUACAGGCAUCUUGUAUUUCCCUAAAGACUAAAUAAAGUUUUUGACCUUUUUAACUGAACAG
rnacentral:lncRNA from 1 species